rnacentral:rRNA from 1 species
UUUUUAAAACAUGGUCUUUUGAUUUUAUAAAAGAAUCUGGCCUUGCCCAAUGAUUUUUUUUAAUGGCUGCAGUAUAUUGACUGUACAAAGGUAGCAUAAUCAUUUGUCUCUUAAUUGGAGUCUGGAAUGAAUGGUCGGAUGAAAAAUUAACUUUCUUUAAUUUAUAGUUAAAAAUUAAUUUUUAGAUCAAAAAGUCUAAAUUUUAAUAUAGGACGAGAAGACCCUAUAGAAUUUUAUUAAAAAUAUAUAAAUUGUUUAUUUAGUAAAUGAUUUUUCUUUAUAUAUUUUUAAUUCUGUUGGGGUGACAUAAAAAAUUAUAUAACUUUUUAUAUUUUAUUCAUUUAUAUAUGAAUUUUUGAUCCUUUAUUAUGGAUAAUAAGACUAAAUUACCUUAGGGAUAACAGCGUUAUUAUUUUAGAGAGUUCAUAUCGAUAAAAUAGUUUGCGACCUCGAUGUUGGAUUAAAAAUUAGUUUCAGGAGUAUCAUAUUGAUAUACUAGGUCUGUUCGACCUUUAAAUUUUUACAUGAUCU